rnacentral:tRNA from 1 species
GGCCGUGUGGCCUAAUGGUUAAGGCGUUGGUUUUCGGCACCAAAGAUCGAGGGUUCGAAUCCUUCCACGGUCG